CCCAGGGAGAGGACAGAGAAGGUAGGCCUAAAGUAGUGGCCCAGAGGACAGAGAAUGUAGGCCUAAAGUAGUGGCCCAGGGAGAGGACAGAGAAGGUAGGCCUAAAGUAGUGGCCCAGAGGAGAGAGAAGGUAGGCCUAAAGUAGUGGCACAGAGGGCAGAGAAGGUAGGCCUAAAGUAGUGGCCCAGAGGGCAGAGAAGGUAGGCCUAAAGUAGUGGCCCAGAGGGCAGAGAAGGUAGGUCUAAAGUAGUGGCCCAGGGAGAAGGUAGGCCUAAAGUAGUGGCCCAGAGGGCAGAGAAGGUAGGCCUAAAGUAGUGGCCCAGAGGGUAGAGAAGGUAGGCCUAAAGUAGUGGCCCAGAGGGCAGAGAAGGUAGGUCUAAAG
rnacentral:lncRNA from 1 species